rnacentral:rRNA from 1 species
UACGAAGGGGGCUAGCGUUGUUCGGAAUUACUGGGCGUAAAGCGCACGUAGGCGGAAUGUUAAGUCAGGGGUGAAAUCCCGGGGCUCAACCCCGGAACUGCCUUUGAUACUGGCAUUCUCGAGUCCGGAAGAGGUGAGUGGAAUUCCGAGUGUAGAGGUGAAAUUCGUAGAUAUUCGGAGGAACACCAGUGGCGAAGGCAGGUCUCUGGGCCACUACUGACGCUGAGAAGCGAGAGCAUGGGGAGCGAACAGG